CUUUUUUUAUUUAUUAUACUAUUAACAAAAGCAAAAAAGGCUUCUAACGCUAGCUUGUUCUAUUCUUUUUCUAUUCUAUCUGUUUUCUUUUUAUUUAUUAUAUAAUUUCAAAAACCCUUGCUAUGUGUGCUUCGUUAAGCUAACUGAGACUUGUUAUAGCACUUGUAUAUCAUUGCUCUUUUGCUGAUUUUGAUUGCUUCCAUUGUCCUCAUUUGUAAGUCGCUUUGGAUAAAAGCGUCUGCUAAAUGUAAUGUAAUAGCCUAUUCAAAUAAUUAUAUAAGUUAAUAUUAAACUUAGCAUUUGAAUAGUCUGUAACUAUAUACAUAUACAUACAAGGUUAAGUAUAUAGAGCUUUUUAAACUGAUGAAGCUUGUUUCUUUUGAGCUCCUAGUGAUAUAAAUUAUUUCCAUUCGGUCGAUUCACUUGCAUUGAUAUAGUGAGUAGCUGCCUUCUCAAACUUUCACUGCAGCAGUGUUUAUUCCUGCCUUAUAAAUGUAUUUCAGUUCUUGGUAUUUUUUCAUAACAAUCUCUUCAUCUUCGCAAGAAGUCAAUCAAACUGAUGCUCUCCAUGUUCCGUGUGAUUGGCAGUUUGCCGCACCGGUGUGCAACAGCUGAUCCUGGUUGGGUUUGUCAGGGUUUGUCAACUCAAAACUUCCUCUGAAACUCUGAGGUUGCUCAUCUUGCUUCGUGCUACAGGCCACAGGAUAAGUUUACAAAGCAAGUUACCAUGGAUGGACACACAGCUACACAUAGGCUACAGCCUGUGUUAUUAGUAUUUUUAUCAAGCACUUUUUUACUUAAAAGUUAAAUAAAAACUUUACUGUACUUAAAUGUUAAGUACAAUACAUUUUCAUUUAAUCUUUAUUUAAGUACAGUUUUUAUUUAACUGUUAGGGACAAUAAAUUGUAAUAAUUAUUUGUUUUUUAUUUACCUGGAUAUAAACACAGUGCAGUGUUAAUGUUCAAACUUUGAAUUUACAAUCUUAGAGUGGCCGACAAUAAUAAAUAUUCUUAUUGGG
ensembl:lncRNA